rnacentral:rRNA from 1 species
AGUGAACGCUGGCGGUAGGCCUAACACAUGCAAGUCGAACGGCAGCACAGUAAGGGCUUGCUCUUACGGGUGGCGAGUGGCGGACGGGUGAGGAAUACAUCGGAAUCUACUUUUUCGUGGGGGAUAACGUAGGGAAACUUACGCUAAUACCGCAUACGACCUACGGGUGAAAGCAGGGGAUCUUCGGACCUUGAGCGAUUGGAUGGGCCGAUGUCGGAUUAGCUAGUUGGCGGGGUAGAGGCCUACCAAGGCGACGAUCCGUAGCCGGUCUGGGAGGGUGACUGGACCAAGUGGGACGGAGAUACGGCCCAGACUCCGACGGGAGGCAACGGUGGGGAAUAGUGCAUACUGGGCGGAAGCCUGAUGCAGCAACGCCGAGUGCCGGAUGAGUGCCGUCGGGUUGUAAACCGCUUGCGCCGGUGACGAAGCGUGAGGGAAGGUAAUGAGUAAAGAAGCACCGGCUAACUACGGG